rnacentral:tRNA from 3 species
UCAGUAGCUCAGUUGGUUAGAGCACCUGACUGUUAAUCAGGGGGUCGUUGGUUCAAGCCCAUCCUGAA